GGCGUAGGCGGCCUUUCAAGUCAGAUGUGAAAUCUCCCGGCUAAACUGGGAGGGUGCGUUUGAUACUGAUGGGCUUGAGUGCGGUAGAGGGAAGCGGAAUUCCCGGUGUAGUGGUGAAAUGCGUAGAUAUCGGGAAGAACACUAGUGGCGAAGGCGGCUUCCUGGGCUGUAACUGACGCUGAGGCCCGAAGGCGUGGGGAGCAAACA
rnacentral:rRNA from 1 species